ACAAUUCCACUCACAUUGAAGGUUGGUCAUAGGAGAUACAGUAGCACCAUCGGGCAGGUCUUCUGGCUUGGAUCCCUUCAAAAGAACAAGAACACCGAGUCUAUUCAACCAGCUUGACAAGCUCUGAAGACCACCACCAAAGGUCUUUUUUAAACAAGUUAGCUGAAUAAACUCAAUACAUUAGCCUGGUGGCCUCUUGCAUCCAUCUUUCUUGACUUCAAAAAUGUGAAUAAGCAGAGGAAUCAACAAAAACUCUUCCUCUACCGGUUCUCUGCUCCCUCACCAACGUUCCUGGCUUUCACUCUUGAGAAUGCACUGGGUUUAUAUAAAAAUUGUAUUUUUCUUAAGGGUAUUGCCAUCCUGUUACACUAAUAGUUCAAUAAACCUACUUUUUAAAGGCUGG